CGCGUAUAGAAUCUGCCUUGUACAGGAGGAUAGCCUUUUAGAAAUGAAGAUUAAUACUCCAUAAUAUUGGGAAGUGGCAUCACUAUCUAAUUAAACAUUUAUGGGUACAAGAUGACUAUGCGUCCUAUUAGCUAGAUGGUAAGGUAACGGCUUACCAUGGCAACGAUAGGUAGGGGGUCUGAGAGGAUUAUCCCCCACACUGGUACUGAGACACGGACCAGACUCCUACGGGAGGCAGCAGUGAGGAAUAUUGGUCAAUGGAGGCAACUCUGAACCAGCCAUGCCGCGUGCAGGAAGACU
rnacentral:rRNA from 1 species